rnacentral:rRNA from 1 species
AUUGAACGCUGGCGGCAGGCUUAACACAUGCAAGUCGAACGAGUGGCGGACGGGUGGGUAAUGCUUGGGAAUCUAGCUUAUGGAGGGGGAUAACUACGGGAAAGUAUCGCUAACACCGCGUACCAUAGGAUGAGCCCAAGUGGGCUUAGGUAGUUGGUGAGGUAAAGGCUCAACAAGCCGACGAUCUCUAGCUGGUCUGAGAGGAUGACCAGCCACACUGGGACCGAGACACGGCCCAGACUCCUACGGGAGGCAGCAGGGGGGAAAAUUGCGGAAGGGGGGCAAUCUGACGAAGCCAUGCCGCGUGAAUGAAGAAGGCCUUCGGGUUGUAAAGUUCUUUCGGUAGCGAGGCGGUAACUACAGAAGAAGCACCGGCUAACUCCGUGCCAGCAGCCGCGGUAAUUC